GGACGAACGCUGGCGGCGUGCCUAACACAUGCAAGUCGAGCGGAGUUGACAAGAGGAAGUUUCGGAUGGAAUUUGUAAUUAGCGGCGGACGGGUGAGUAACGCGUGAGCGACCAACCUUGCACAGGGGGAUAACGGACCGAAAGGUUCACUAAUACCGCAUGAGACCACGGUGUUGCAUGACACAGGGGGUCAAAGGAGUAAUCCGGUGCAAGACGGGCUCGCGUCCGAUUAGGUAGUUGGAGGGGUAACGGCCCACCAAGCCUAUGAUCGGUAGCCGACCUGAGAGGGUGAUCGGCCACAUUGGAACUGAGAUACGGUCCAAACUCCUACGGGAGGCAGCAGUGGGGAAUAUUGGGCAAUGGGGGAAACCCUGACCCAGCAACGCCGCGUGAAGGAAGAAGGUUUUCGGAUUGUAAACUUCUGUCCUUGGUGAAGAGAAGAAGACGGUAGCCAAGGAGGAAGCCCCGGCUAACUACGUGCCAGCAGCAGC
rnacentral:rRNA from 1 species